ensembl:lncRNA
UGGGUUUUAGUAGUAGUGGGUUUUAGUAGUAGUGGGUUUUAGUAGUGGGUUUUAGUAGUGGGUUUUAGUAGUGUUUUUUAGUUGUGGGUUUUAGUAGCGGGUUUUAGUGGGAGGUUUUAGUAGUGGGUUUUAGUAGUGGGUUUUAGUGGGAGGUUUUAGUAGUAGUGGGUUUUAGUAGUUGUGGGUUUUAGUAGUGGGUUUUAGUAGUAGUGGGUUUUAGUAGUGGGUUUUAGUAGUGGGUUUUAGUAGUUUUGGGUUUUAGUAGUGGGUUUUAGUAGUAGUGGGUUUUAGUAGUGGGUUUUAGUAGUAGUGGGUUUUAGUGGUGGGUUUUAGUAGUGGGUUUUAGUAGUUGGUUUUAGUAGUAGUGGGUUUUAGUCGUGGGUUUUAGUAGUGGGCUUUAGUAGUGGGCUUUAGUAGUGGGUUUUAGUAGUGGGCUUUAGUAGUGGGUUUUAGUAGUGGGUUUUAGUAGUGGGUUUUAGUUUGGGUUUUAGUAGUGGUGGGUUUUAGUAGUUGGUUUUAGUAGUAGUGGGUUUUAGUCGUGGGUUUUAGUAGUGGGCUUUAGUAGUGGGCUUUAGUAGUGGGUUUUAGUAGUGGGAUUUAGUAGUUUGGUUUUAGUAGUGGGUUUUAGUAGUGGGUUUUAGUUGUGGGUUUUAGUAGUGGGUUUUAGUGGGAGGUUUUAGUGGGAGGUUUUAGUAGUAGUGGGUUUUAGUAGUGGGUUUUAGUAGUAUUUUU